rnacentral:rRNA from 1 species
GUUAGGAAUAUUGGACAAUGGGCGAAAGCCUGAUCCAGCCAUGCCGCGUGAACGAUGAAGGCCUUCGGGUUGUAAAGUUCUUUAGCCGAUGAUUAUAAUGACUGUAGUCGGAAAAUAAGCCCCGGCUAACUUCGUGCCAGCAGCCGCGGUAAUACGAAGGGGGCGAGUGUUAUUCGGAAUCACUGGGCGUAAAGCGUGCGUAGGCGGUUUUGUAAGUUAGGAGUGAAAGCCCAGGGCUCAACCUUGGAAUUGCUCUUAAAACUGCAAGGCUCGAAUCUCGGAGAGGAUAGCGGAAUUUCCAGUGUAGCAGUGAAAUGCGUAGAUAUUGGAAGGAACACCAGUGGCGUAAGCGGCUAUCUGGACGAGUAUUGACGCUGAGGCACGAAAGCGUGGGGAUCAAACAGGAUUAGAAACCCCGGUAGUCC